rnacentral:rRNA from 1 species
UACGAAGGGGGCUAGCGUUGCUCGGAAUCACUGGGCGUAAAGCGCACGUAGGCGGCUUUGUAAGUCAGAGGUGAAAGCCCGGAGCUUAACUCCGGAAUUGCCUUUGAGACUGCAUCGCUUGAAUCCAGGAGAGGUGAGUGGAAUUCCGAGUGUAGAGGUGAAAUUCGUAGAUAUUCGGAAGAACACCAGUGGCGAAGGCGGCUCACUGGACUGGUAUUGACGCUGAGGUGCGAAAGCGUGGGGAGCAAACAGG